AGGAGCCGGAUGAGGUGAAAGUCUCACGUCCGGUUUUGAAGACGAGUCGGGUAAGGUAACUUACCUGGCGAAUGUUUAACAAUACAGCUUCAUUUAUAUAGUAUUUUUGAGUGAUAUAACUCUUGUCAAUCAGAGUUUUCUAUAAUUUGCUCUGCUGUUUUUCUAUUACUUAUCCCUAGU
rnacentral:ncRNA from 1 species